AGCAGCGUGGCUCAGUGGAAAGAGCCUGGGCUCGGGAGCCAGAGGUCGUGGGUUCGAAUCCCGGCUCUGCCG
rfam:Ornithorhynchus anatinus chromosome 5, whole genome shotgun sequence.